GACGAACGCUGGCGGCGUGCUUAACACAUGCAAGUCGAACGGAAAGGCCCUGCUUUUGUGGGGUGCUCGAGUGGCGAACGGGUGAGUAACACGUGAGUAGCCUGCCCUUGACUUUGGGAUAACUUCAGGAAACUGGGGCUAAUACCGGAUAGGAGCUCCUGCUGCAUGGUGGGGGUUGGAAAGUUUCGGCGGUUGGGGAUGGACUCGCGGCUUAUCAGCUUGUUGGUGGGGUAGUGGCUUACCAAGGCUUUGACGGGUAGCCGGCCUGAGAGGGUGACCGGCCACAUUGGGACUGAGAUACGGCCCAGACUCCUACGGGAGGCAGCAGUGGGGAAUAUUGCACAAUGGGCGGAAGCCUGAUGCAGCAACGCCGCGUGCGGGAGGACGGCCUUCGGGUUGUAAACCGCGUUCGCCUGUGACGAAGCGUGAGUGACGGUAAUGGGUAAAGAAGCACCGGCUAACUACGUG
rnacentral:rRNA from 1 species